ensembl:lncRNA
CAAAAACAUUUGCAAGAAUCAGACUUCAGUAAUAGCAGAUCAAGCCAGCCCAUGUACAGCCUAUGACAGAGCUCUGCUGUGGAACUCUGAUGCCUCAUGAAAUAAUUUACAAGCCAAGAAGGAUAUGAAAGAGUGAAGUAACCAUGCUCCGUACCCUCCCCCACGACUCUGUGAAUCUUCCAGGCUGAAGCUAGCCAUCUCUGAUAUUUUGAGCAGAAACAUUUACUGGAUGUGUACUGUGAUUAUUUCCAAGUCCUUGUCUCUUCUCCUUCCUCUGCUAAAAUUCAAAAUUGCCUUCUAUAAGCUAUAAAGAUUGUUUUGAAAUAAUGAGCCAGAAAUACACACAUGUUGUGCACAGUCCUAUGGAUCUUGCAGUAAAGCAAAUUAUAGUCUGGAAUGGAUGAAGGAAGAUGAAUCAAAACAUCUCUCUGUACAAAAUGCUUGUGGCUUAGCAGAAGUGGUCUUUUUCUUUCGUCUCAUGGUUAAAAUAUAUUGUGCUAUGAGCCUGUCUCAUGCUAAGAAGCACAGAGAAGAAAACAUACUGAUCUUUUAAAUAGACAGUUGUGGGACCAAAGCUAAUCCAUGGAAAAUUCCAAAUACCUUUGAAAUGGAAGAGCUGCAUUUCUGUCUCUUCAGAAGUCUGAUAAUAGCCUCAUGCUAAAUUUUAUCAUCAGGAAUAUAACAUUUCUACAGCAUUCAGAGUAAGGCAUACAAGAAAACAUCUCUGAAUUAUGGCCAGAGCACAAUCCCAGUAAAAUUGAAAGUUCCGUUUUCUCUUACGAGCCAACCGCUGCCCACCAAUAAACAGGUGCACCCACAGGUUAUAUUGGUAUCAAAUGUAGCCAGGUAGUUUCAAGUACAAAUAGCUAAACCAUAGAGAGCUCAGUGCAGGCCAAAGUCCACUUGCAUUUUCCACCUGACACCAGCAAAGCUGGUCUGCAUGUCAAAUCCUUCAGAGCCCUGGCCUUGUUGUGGUCAUUUUCACACCUUACGUGCAUCUGGUGAGUUAAACUCAGUCUAUCCCAUCUGUUAUCUGAACAAAGAAGUACCUUUUUUUCAAGUACAAGAAGUAUGAAGCAAUUUGUAUUGGUAAAUAGCAACUUCUGUCGUGAAAAUGACCAGGAUGCCACAGAUUGUUAUUAUCUCAUGGUUAUUCUCUGUGAGAUAAUUGGAGCCAUCUAUAUGCAGACAAGCACUCAGCAAGUAUGAAUAGCUUCUGUAUCAUACACCAAGCUGGAAGAAAAUUAUUCCCUGUGGAGACUGGGCAUGCUACAAGCCACUUUAUCAGUGCCAUAUAUAUGGGCCCUUGUUUUGUAAACUUACUCGCAAGGAGUCAUUUGGUGUCUUAAUCAAAAUAGCUUCACAAAUCAUACGGCCUUUUGCUUCUGUUUUGGCAUCUCACCUCCUUGUGUUGUGUAUUCAACCAUAGUGUUGAAUAGCUGGUUAUAGUUUUCACUCCACUUCACACUAAAAGGUGCCAGAAUACAACUCUAGAAGGCAGCAUUAAGGAGAGCAUGCAGUCUGUUUAUUUUUAAUAAGCUGAUAUUAAGACUCCAAGCACUGUCCUUCAUGAACUUGUGUGGUACUGAAUUUCUGUAUUCUCAAAAUAACGAUUUUUAUUUUUUAAAAAGGAAGUGGACAGAGUCUUAAAUAGCAAAUCUUGCACUUCUCUGGCACCAUCAUUCUCCUAGUCCAGGCAAAAAAAAAACAAAAAACAAUCAAAAAAAAACCCACAAAAAACACGCACACAAAAAAAAAAAACAACCAGCCAACCAAACAACCAACCAAACAACAACAACAACAAACACAGUGACUCUCCUAGCAACCUACAGUUUGUUCUUUAGAUUUUUAAUCUUUAAUAGCAACAAUUUCCAUACACAAUAUAUAUCUUUUAGCACAAUUAAAAGAACCCAAACUAAAUCUCCACUGCUCAGCUCUCAGUCUGAUGCUGAAGUAACGUGAGACUUCAAUACUGGAAACUACUUCUGGCUUUCUCAACACAACUGAGGAAGAGGAGAUAAAUUAUUAUUAUUAUUAUUAUUAUUUGGUAAGUUGUUUUAUAAUUAGUGCAAUAGAUAAAUGAGAAAAUCUUCCUCAGAACAUCUCUUGUCUUGCAAUAUACUAGUUAAUAUAUUCUCUUCAGAGUCAGCCAACUGGUUUUAAUUAUACAGUUAUACCAGCAUGUCACCAUCUUAUUCCUAGCAGGGAAGCUGCAGUUAAAACAAAAAAAAUAGUAUAUAGGAGAAACUCAGAGCUGCCAAAGGCGCCAUUACUCAGGUAAUUUUAUUUUUAUUUUUAUUUUUUUUUUACACUGAAGUCCAGCUACUCAUCCAUCACUGAACAUUGUCUUCUAGGAGUCACUUCAUGCAGAUGGAGAAUAGGGCUCAUCUCAGCAUCCUACCCAGCACAUCAGGAGAAUAAUUUCCUCAGCUUAAGACCAUGGACAAAUAACUGCUAAGCAUAAAACAGCAGCUUUGUUUUUCUGUACAGCCUUGCCUUAAUGCCAGCAUUAAAGAGACUGCCCCAGUAAAAAUUAUAGCUUUAAGGUAUUCAGUUUACUGCUAAAAUCCAAUAGCACAUAAAAGUAUAAUACAUAUUUUAAGAGUUACCUUAAUCUCAGAGCUCUUGUGUACAUUGUUUUGGGAGAGUAAGUACCGAUCUGGCUCUGAUCACAGUGAAUUUCCCUACAUCUGUCUCAGUGGAGUGAGAGUAGGAGACUUUCAUCUCAAAACAGCACUAAGAUUACUGUGUCACCCUCUUUGGAGGACCAGAGAGCAUCAGGCCAAAGCAGAGCAAAAGAGUGUCACUGGUGACCAAUAACAGUAAGUAGAACAUUCCAUAUGCUUCUCUGAUUUAUGCCAGGGACUUGGUUGGCCUUGCAAAAGGAAGAGCUUAACUUUAACAUUCCCUUUAGCCUCCUUAAGGAAUAAAACCACAUCUCUGUCCUCAGUGGAUUUGUUUCAUUUGUUUCAUUUUUUAAGCAGGUUUCUUUCUCCAACAUUUUUCAUUAAAAGUGAAAUGAUUUUCCACCCUGGAAAUCAUUAUCUUGCUAGCAUACCUAUGUGAGCUUCACUGUAAAUUUCUACACCCUGUGCCUGCAGUAAUCCUGCCUCCGUUGAAACAUCUGAGGACCAAAUUUAGGCUUGAACAUGUGCAAUAGGAUACAAAAUUUGGCUUCCCAAGUGUGAAAUAGCUCAGUUGUUCACUGACUCAACAUCAAAAAAAAAAAAAAAAAAAAAAA